rnacentral:RNase_P_RNA from 1 species
CGAGCCGGCCGGGCGGUCGCGUGCGGGCACUGUGUCUUUCGGGGCAGGGUGCCUGCCCGAGGAACGUCCGGGCUCCGAAGGGCAGGGUGGUUGCUAACGGCAACCCGGGGUGACCCGCGGGACAGUGCCACAGAAAACAGACCGCCACCGUGUUGGGCUCAGCCUGGUGCGGCGGUAAGGGUGAAACGGUGGUGUAAGAGACCACCAGCACCCCGGGUGACCGGGGUGGCUAGGUAAACCCCACCCGGAGCAAGGUCAAGAAGGGGCCCCUCGGGGUCCUGCGCAGGCGUUCGAGGGCGGCCCGCCCGAGCCUGCGGGUAGACCGCUGGAACCUGUCGGCGACGGCAGGUCUAGAUGGAUGGUCGCCGGUCGGGGCAGUGCCGCAAGGCGCCCCGUCCACAGAACCCGGCGUACAGCCCGACUCGUCCG